rnacentral:lncRNA from 1 species
GAGACAAUUCGAUCAAUUCCUCAUAAUAGUUGCUAUAAAUUGUUUGUUUAUGUAAAAGAAAAUGUAUAAUCGGAAAUGAAGAUCAUAUUAAUAAUAAUUACCAUCAUUGGACAUGCUUUAUGUUCGUUUAAUUGUACAGGUAAGCUCUUUGAAAUGUUUCUGUCUAUUUACAAAUUGUCACGAUGAUUUCAAAAACGUCAUAUUUUGUUUUUCACUCAUUAAACACAAUUUUAUUUACAUGCGAUUCUUUGGAUGUUUACAUUGUACUUAUAAGUUCUUUUGUUCCUGCGAUUUAAAAAUAUCCAUAAAUGAAAUGUAAUCCAUGCCAUCAAAAUAUCCGUAAAUUAAAUGUGACCCCUAUAAAAAUUCACUUUUAAUGACCACUGAAUAGUAGAAUUAUUUUUGCACAUGUAGUAUUAUUACAUUCAUUAAAAUUCUAAUCAGUCUGAUUUAAAUCAGCUAAUAAUCAGAGCUUUACAUACAACUGAAUACACUUUGUCAGAUCUUAAUGAGAUUGUCCCGCAAAUUUAAAGGUUAAUUGAAAGUACAACGUUAAGACUUAUUUAUUUUAUAAUCAAAACGUCAAGACAUAAAUUUAACGAAAUUGUCGUUUUAAACUGUUUAAGCAUUUAUAAUAAGCUUGUUAUAUGUUUUCCUUUCUACGAUAUUAUCGAUAAUGUUGUUAUAAAAUACGAUGGUACAAAGUUGACAUACAAAAAUAUUUUAAUAUAAUAGUCCAUAAUUCUACAGUUUUAUUUUGAUAAUUAUUCUUAUAAACCAAGGCUAAAGCAUGAAGAAUAUUUCUAAAGAUUUUUUUUAAUUUUCAGAAUUUGCACAUCGUUUUCGCUCAGACAGCUUACCGGUACUGAUGCAAGAUUUUAUUGGAACCCACAGUAGAGGAUUGUUAGCCAUUAAAUGUGCAGUAAGUUUAAUAUAAUUAUAAAUAAGCAAGGAACUUUUAACAUGUUAAAAUCGAUGCCUUAUAUUUGGAAGUAUUGUCAAUACAUUUUUUGCGUUAAAAUCAUUACGUGUGCGAGCAGC